CAUUUGCCUGCUUUCCCUCCCCCUGAUGACGCCCACGGAGCUGUAAUCUUCUCACUUCCCUUUUUCUAUUACCACCUCACCUGGCCUUUGCUCCCUCUCUUUUCUGCUACACAUGGCAUGUCUCUGGGUGCCCUUUGUCCUCGCGUUCUGAUUUUAUGAGAAGUGUUUAUUUCCAUGUUUUCGGUAUUUGCCGGGAUGUAUUCUCACCGAGCUGAUGGCGAAGCCCUUCUCUCUCAGCGGGAAGCUGCUGCUCACGGCAAUUACGCCUGCUGUCUCCCUUUUCAUUUUCCUUCAGCUCGUGAGGAAAUUGUGCUUCCAGAAACCCCAUGAAUUCUUUCUGAAACUCUUACGUAACCCAGUGUGUUCAGCCAUUUCUUUUCCAUCCAUAUAUUUUUUAUGUUUGGCUGGGCAUUUGGGCUCAUUUCCCCUCCAGAUAAUUUGGUGGUGAUUUGAUCUAAAGUUCCUCUCAGUCUGUUGAUGAUCUCCGCCAUCCCUGUGGGUGGCUUCCGUGGCCAUCAGACUCGGCUGAUACUUGAAUCAUCUGCUGCAGAGAGAGUCUACCCUGCCAGUUUUGUUCUUUCUGGCAGCCCAAAGAAAAAUCCGCCUACACAGAAACAGAUGUGAGAAUCCAGGAAUCCAGGUCAUACUGCCCAUAGUUUAGAAAUGGGUGUGAAGGCCCAUCUGCACCAUACAAGGGAGUCAUUGAAAUGGAAGUCGAACUCCUGGCUUCUGCCCUCGAGGAAAGAUGGCCACUGUCCCUGCUGUCACAUGUGAGUUGGGAUUCUCCAAGGAACAGCACCAAUAAGAAGGGAUUUACCAGGUUGGCUCACAUGAUCAGAAGCUGAGGAUGACCCACAGUGGCUGGCUGUAGGCUGAAGGAGAGCCAGGAAUGCUCAGUGGAAAAAGCUAGACACCCCAGAACAAGAGGAAACAAAGAUGUCGCCCCAGUUGGAGGCUCUGGUGAGGCACCGGUGGGUGGGCUUUUCAAUGGCUGAUGUUCUGGGGGUGCUGUGUCCUGUCACAGGAGCAGGCCUGCACUCUGGAGGUGCUGUGUCCUUCCACAGGAGCAGGCCUGCACUCUGGGGGU